CCUACGGGAGGCAGCAGUGGGGAAUAUUGGACAAUGGGCGAAAGCCUGAUCCAGCAAUGCCGCGUGAGUGACGAAGGCCUUAGGGUUGUAAAGCUCUUUUACCCGGGAUGAUAAUGACAGUACCGGGAGAAUAAGCUCCGGCUAACUCCGUGCCAGCAGCCGCGGUAAU
rnacentral:rRNA from 1 species